CCUACAACUAGUGGCACCGCACCGCACCACAACCUUAUCUUCCCUGUCGCUUGCCCCUCCCCCUCCAUCGCCCCUCCCCCAACCAAUCUUGCCCACACCGCAGAUGCAUCCUCCGCCCCAAACGACGGCGAUAGGGAUGCCGACGCCCUAACCCACGUCUCCUUCCACCUCCCCCAACUCGUCUUCUCGCCGGCUACUUUGGAGGAGCCUCCUUUUGCACGCCACCGUGGCCGGGCUGCGGCGACCACCAGAGGUCCGCCGCCGCCAGGAUCUCCCUCCUUCUCCACUACGAGGCACCAGCAGAGGGGGGCGACUCCUCCUUCCAUCCCUAGUCGCGGCCUCCAACCUCUAACGCCGCUUGAAACCCUAGCCCGAAUCCGGCAGAGGCAGUUGAAGGAAGGGGGCGGGCCAUGGACAAGCUGCAAGGUGGGGGCCUGAAGCCAUGGAUGGAUGUGUUUGGGACGGUGAGGAGGCACCCAACCGAGCGGCGGGCAAGGAUGAAGUGAAGUUGAGCGCACCGUCGUCAUAUCCCUUCUCCGUCUGCUGUUACUGGAAGCAAGCACAGUACCAUCUCAUCUCAUCCACGAGAAGCUAUUUUUGGCUUACCCGAAGGGAUGCAUGCUCUUCAUCUUGCAGGUAUGACUCAUCCUCGCAUUCUUACUUCGCCUUUGUUUCCUUCAGCUUAUUGAUCCUGAAAUUUUAAGAUAAAUUGUAAGUACUCACUAUCAUGUUCUUAAGCAAAGCUACUUUUUUUGCUUGAAUUAUAGUGUUUUGUCUGACCUAUGUAUAGUGUCAAUAAAAAUCUAAAUUUCAAGAUGGAGAUACAUUUUUUGGUGGCAUCUUACAUCACAGUAAUUUACAACCAAGAUAGGUUUACAAUGUUUUUUUGAUAGCAACUAUAAUGCAUAGCUGCAGAUUUUGUCGAAUACACAUAUGUAUUUUGUAUGCAUGGCAGAUACUGGGGUCAAAUAGAAUAACAAGUAAAUCAUUCCUUUUGUCUUCAUAUUUACUUGAAGGACUGCAUGUUUUUCAUCUUUGUAUGCCCCAUGUAUUUGCUUGUAAGCUUCAGUAGUGUUAUCUAUCUAGUCUGAUUUAUAUAAUCCAUUCCUAAGCUGAAAUAUUUUUUGUAACUGAAAUAUAUAGUCUGAGUUUCAUUCAGUUAUUUGUCACUUUUUAACUAAAUAGCUUUUUGUAACUGAAAUAUCUGUGUACUUACAAUGCCUGUCUCAUAGGGCCCAUCCCAGCGAGACCUAAGUUUUAAUUGAAUAUCUUUUCUGUCGAUUGUCGUAGGAUUUUAGAGAAAACACUUAUCAGGAAUACAAGUGUUUAUGAAACUACUGUUGUUGCUUUAGCCAAACACCUCACAGUUUCCAAAACUACAGUUUUGUAGAAACCAUAGUAUUCUGAUUGAGCUAAGCUAGCCUUGUAUCUCCACCUGUGGGAGUCAAGGUGCAUAUGCUCCUUGUCUUUUUCACUUUUUAGAUUAGACUGAAUAUCUAGGAUGCUUAUGCCGUCUCGAAACUGUCAACCCGACUCAUAGAAUGAUCUUUUUAUUUAGGAUUCAUGGUUUUUUUUCUUGUUAUUAUGCAUUACUAUGAGUUCAUUGUAUUAAGAUUCCUUACAACUUUAUGCGCCCGAGCUAUUUACAGAAGGAGGGGGCUCGGCCUUCUUCACGGCUCGCGGCAGUGUCUCUCGUUGAUUCGUUCGUGCAACAAGGAGGGGACCCGCCCUUCUUCAUGUCUUGUGCAACUAGUAAGGACCAGCCCUCUGGCUAUUACUAUUGAUCCAUGUGCAUGUGCUAAAAAGGGUGAUCGACGCGGACUACCGCUGCCCGGUGGGCGUCGUGCUCUUCAACCACUCGGAGGUGGACUUUGCCGUGAAGUCCGGUGACCGCGUCGCACAGAUGAUCGUCCAGGUGAUCGUGACGCCGGAGGCCGCCGAGGUGGAGGACCUCGAUAGCAUCAUUUGGGGGGAGGGAGGAUUCGGGUCCACUAGCGUCUGAACUCUGAGCCUUGGUAAAUACAUCUAGAGAAGUUGUAUGUUUAGGCUGCUGGUGGAACACUAGGAAAGGUACCUACCUUUGGUUGUGUGUGUUUACUAUUAAAUGGAAUCACAUGAUCUCUUGUGGUUGAGAUGUUCAAUGUUGCAUCCAUGAACGGUGCAAGUGUUAAGAUGGUCAUGUGACCUUAAUUUAUUUUGCAUUGGACA